rnacentral:misc_RNA from 1 species
GAUGAAGAACGCAGCGAAAUGCGAUACGUAGUGAAUUGCAAAUUCAGUGAAUCAUCGAGUCUUUGAACGCACAUUGCGCCCCCUGGUAUUCCGGGGGGCAUGCCUGUCCGAGCGUCAUUGCUGCCCUCAAGCACGGCUUGUGUGUUGGGCCCCGUCCUCCGAUCCCGGGGGACGGGCCCGAAAGGCAGCGGCGGCACCGCGUCCGGUCCUCGAGCGUAUGGGGCUUUGUCACCCGCUCUGUAGGCCCGGCCGGCGCUUGCCGAUCAACCCAAAUUUUUAUCCAGGUUGACCUCGGAUCAGGUAGGGAUACCCGCUGAACUUAAGCAUAUCAAUAAGCGGAGGA